GAUGAACGCUGGCGGCGUGCCUAAUACAUGCAAGUCGAGCGAGCACAUCCUGAGCUUUCUGCUCUGGCGUUAGCGGCGGACGGGUGAGUAACACGUGGAUAACCUACCUAUAAGACUUGGAUAACUUCGGGAAACCGGGGCUAAUACCGGAUAAUAUAUUGAACCGCAUGGUUCAAUAGUGAAAGACGGUUUUGCUGUCACUUAUAGAUGGAUCCGCGCCGCAUUAGCUAGUUGGUAAGUUAACGGCUUACCAAGGCAACGAUGCGUAGCCGACCUGAGAGGGUGAUCGGGCACACUGGCACGGAGACACGGACCAGCCUCCUACGGGAGGCAGCAGUAGGGAAUCUUCCGGACUGGGCGAAAGCCUGACGGAGCAACGCAGCUUGAGUGAUGAAGGUCUUCGGAUCGUAAAACACUGUUAUUAGGGAAGAACAAAUGUGUAGGCAACUAUGCACGUCUUGACGGUAGCCAAUCAGAAAGCCCCGGCUAACUACGUG
rnacentral:rRNA from 1 species